rnacentral:rRNA from 1 species
GGGAGAUUCGUGCCUAAUACAUGCAAGUCGAGCGAACGGACGAGAAGCUUGCUUCUCUGAUGUUAGCGGCGGACGGGUGAGUAACACGUGGAUAACCUACCUAUAAGAGAUUGACUGGGAUAACUUCGGGAAACCGGAGCUAAUACCGGAUAAUAUUUUGAACCGCAUGGUUCAAAAGUGAAAGACGGGAGACGUUUCUUGCUGUCACUUUUAUAGAUGGAUCCGCGCUGCAUUAGCUAGUUGGUAAGGUAACGGCUUACCAAGGCAACGAUGCAUAGCCGACCUGAGAGGGUGAUCGGCCACACUGGAACUGAGACACGGUCCAGACUCCUACGGGAGGCAGCAGUAGGGAAUCUUCCGCAGAGAGCGCUUAAUGGGCGAAAGCCUGACGGAGCAACGCCGCGUGAGUGAUGAAGGUCUUCGGAUCGUAAAACUCUGUUAUUAGGGAAGAACAUAUGUGUAAGUAACUGUGCACAUCUGACGGUACCUAAUCAGAAAGCCACAAC